CCCUCAUCUUACUGGGUCGUUGUGAGGAUUAAAUAGUAAUGACAGUAAUACAUGUAAGAUGCUUAAAAUAGAGCACGGUAUGUGUGAGCAUUCAGCAUCUGGAGCAUCGUCAUACGGAGCAUGGGUAUCUACCUAAGAUGCCUUGUCUGCUGCAGAGAACAGGCUCUCUGGAAAUGACAGAAAUACAUGUCUUGCUGGAUGGCUUGGACAAAGGACAGAGAGGUUGCCAGUUUGGCCAAAGGAUGAGAGCAGCUGAUGGAUAGGAUUAAACUAUCCCUUAACUCACCUUUCUCCUAGGGUCCUCUGAACACAGACAGCCCUUCCCUUCUCACUACUUAUGCCAAAGCCUUGUUUGUCUGUCCAUUUACUCGAUGCAGCGUGACUUCCAGAGCCCAGGCUUCUCCAGGCCUUGCUGUGAUGAUGCACCCAUUUCUCCACGCCCUCCCUGGCGAAGGGGCCGAGCCUCUACCGGGCGGCCUGCCUCUGACAGUCAGCACACUGGGCUAACAGGCCAUUCUGUGGGACAGCCUUCCAGCUGUUCUGUUUUAAUAUUUAGGCUAGGCUGUGGAAAGCCAGAAAGUGAGGCUGGCGAUAGGCUUCGAGGAGGCUGGGCGGCAGCAAAGGAAAACAGAGUCACCCUGAGUCUCGGCAGCUUGACAAGAACGCUCUUCGGUCGGCAUCCGACCACCUCUGCCACCGGUGCAGCCUCCUCGGAGACGGAUAUAGGGGUCCUGGACCUACGUGGGAAUGCUGCUGUGAGACGGCCCUGGCAGGAGCCAGACAGAUAAGCCCUCGAUAGUUUCAACAGCCCCACUGAAGGGGGAUCUGAUUCCACAGGUCAAAACCCUUCAACAAUACUCAACAGUGGACUGUCACACGUCUGGAAAAUAUAACUGUUUUUGAAGAAUGCUUUCCAAACCACGUAAUGCUUUUAAAGCUGUUUAUCAAAAGAGCUGGAUGAGCGACAGUGGCCUGAAACAGUGUGUCAGCUGUUACAGGGUCGCAGGCCCCAGCCUAAUUUCCGAAGCACUCCAUCAUUCUCGGUUGUCCUACCAUCGGCAGACAACAGAUGCCAAUGUGUGGAGACAUUCGCUACAUAACUUUUACCCGACAAACCUGGCUCCAGGACAGAUUUCCAUGUCAUGUGGGGCUUUUGGCUGAACUCUGCUCGAACCCAGAGGCAUAUCAUUUACAGCAGACACUAACAAUAGUUUGGGAUCACUUGCUCUUCGCAGGUGGGUUCAGAGCAAGUUCGUGGCCUCCGCACACCUUUUCCAGUAGGGCUCUCACACACAAAGCUGAGAGCCCAG
rnacentral:lncRNA from 1 species